rnacentral:misc_RNA from 1 species
UUUCCGUAGGUGGACCUGCGGAAGGAUCAUUAUUGGAUUUUGAAACUUCAGGCUGCUGCUGGCUCUCCUCGGAGGGCAUGUGCACGCUUGUUGUCCAUUAUUCUCCCACUGUGCACAAAUUGUAGACCUUUCAGUAGGCCUAUGUUGUUUUUCACAAUCUCUGAAUGUAAUAGAAUGGUUUUGAAUCUUGGGAAAUACAAUACAACUUUCAGCAACGGAUCUCUUGGCUCUC